UACGGGGGGGGCAAGCGUUGUUCGGAAUUACUGGGCGUAAAGGGCUCGUAGGCGGCCAACUAAGUCGGAUGUGAAAUCCCCAGGCUUAACCGGGGAACUGCGUCUGAUACUGGAUGGCUUGAGUUUGGGAGAGGGAUGCGGAAUUCCAGGUGUAGCGGUGAAAUGCGUAGAUAUCGUAAGGAAGACCAGUGGCGAAGGCGGGUCUCUGGACAGUUCCUGACACUGAGGCACGAAGGCCAGGGGAGCAAACGGG
rnacentral:rRNA from 1 species